rnacentral:rRNA from 1 species
AUGAACGCUAGCGACAGGCUUAACACAUGCAAGUCGAGGGGCAGCGGGGGUAGCAAUACCCGCCGGCGACCGGCGCACGGGUGAGUAACGCGUAUGCAACUUACCUAUCAGAGGGGGAUAACCCGGCGAAAGUCGGACUAAUACCGCAUGAAGCAGGGGCCCCGCAUGGGGAUAUUUGCUAAAGAUUCAUCGCUGAUAGAUAGGCAUGCGUUCCAUUAGGCAGUUGGCGGGGUAACGGCCCACCAAACCGACGAUGGAUAGGGGUUCUGAGAGGAAGGUCCCCCACAUUGGUACUGAGACACGGACCAAACUCCUACGGGAGGCAGCAGUGAGGAAUAUUGGUCAAUGGCCGAGAGGCUGAACCAGCCAAGUCGCGUGAGGGAUGAAGGUUCUAUGGAUCGUAAACCUCUUUUAUAAGGGAAUAAAGUGCGGGACGUGUCCCGUUUUGUAUGUACCUUAUGAAUAAGGAUCGGCUAACUCCGUGCCAGCAGCCGCGGUAAUACGGAGGAUCCGAGCGUUAUCCGGAUUUAUUGGGUUUAAAGGGUGCGUAGGCGGCCUUUUAAGUCAGCGGUGAAAGUCUGUGGCUCAACCAUAGAAUUGCCGUUGAAACUGGGGGGCUUGAGUAUGUUUGAGGCAGGCGGAAUGCGUGGUGUAGCGGUGAAAUGCAUAGAUAUCACGCAGAACCCCGAUUGCGAAGGCAGCCUGCCAAGCCAUUACUGACGCUGAUGCACGAAAGCGUGGGGAUCAAACAGGAUUAGAUACCCUGGUAGUCCACGCAGUAAACGAUGAUCACUAGCUGUUUGCGAUACACUGUAAGCGGCACAGCGAAAGCGUUAAGUGAUCCACCUGGGGAGUACGCCGGCAACGGUGAAACUCAAAGGAAUUGACGGGGGCCCGCACAAGCAGUGGAGUAUGUGGUUUAAUUCGAAGCAACGCGAAGAACCUUACCAGGUCUUGACAUCCAACUAACGAAGUAGAGAUACAUUAGGUGCCCUUCGGGGAAAGUUGAGACAGGUGGUGCAUGGUUGUCGUCAGCUCGUGCCGUGAGGUGUCGGCUUAAGUGCCAUAACGAGCGCAACCCUUGCCACUAGUUACUAACAGGUAAAGCUGAGGACUCUGGUGGGACUGCCAGCGUAAGCUGCGAGGAAGGCGGGGAUGACGUCAAAUCAGCACGGCCCUUACAUCCGGGGCGACACACGUGUUACAAUGGCGUGGACAAAGGGAGGCCACCUGGCGACAGGGAGCGAAUCCCCAAACCACGUCUCAGUUCGGAUCGGAGUCUGCAACCCGACUCCGUGAAGCUGGAUUCGCUAGUAAUCGCGCAUCAGCCAUGGCGCGGUGAAUACGUUCCCGGGCCUUGUACACACCGCCCGUCAAGCCAUGGGAGCCGGGGGUACCUGAAGUCCGUAACCGCGAGGAUCGGCCUAGGGUAAAACUGGUGACUGGGGCU